CAGGAGAGAUUUGUUAGAGGGAGACAAAGGAGAGACGGGCUGCCGGCCCUGUACAGAGCCAGGUAGAACACAGGGCUGCCGGCCCUGUACAGAGCCAGGUAGAACACAGGGCUGCCGGCCCUGUACAGAGCCAGGUAGAACACAGGGCUGCCGGCCCUGUACAGAGCCAGGUAGAACACAGGGCUGCCGGCCCUGGGCUGCCGGUCCUGUACAGAGCCAGGUAGAACACAGGGCUGCCGGCCCUGUACAGAGCCAGGUAGAACACAGGGCUGCCGGCCCUGUACAGAGCCAGGUAGAACAGAGGGGCCGGGAGUCAGUUAGUGGAGCAGGAGACGGUCCAGGGCAGAGCACGGCUGGUUGGCUGGAGACGAGGGCGAGUGUGGAAAGAGA